CCUCAGCCUUCCUCAUGCUGGGACCACAGGUGUGUGCCACCACACCUGGGUGAAGCAGGAGCUCCUUAGCUGGUCCUUGGUCUCUGGCUUCCUCCUAUCCUCCCUCUCUGAAAGUGUGCAUUUCUCUGAAUUCUUUAUGGGCCUCGGUGCUGGGCCUCAACUGUGUCGUGCAUGAGUCACCCUGCUGCUUUGUCCCUGCCCCACCACACAGGAUUACUCACCGCCCCUCUGGAAUGUGCCCUCUCCCCAGGACACCUUCUGUGCCCACAUCCUUUAUUAUUUUGUUUAAACUAAUAAUGCUUUCCCCCUUUCCAAUGGUUAAAAAUACUUGUGGAAAAUUUGCAAAAUGGAAACUGUAUGCAAAGAGAUACAAGAGCACCCGUCCUGGGCUGGGGGUUCAGCUCAGUGGUUCUGGUGGCUGCCUCGAAAGCACAAGGUCCCAAGUUCAAUCCCCGGUACCAAAAAAACAAAAAAACAAAAACGAAAGAAGGAGCACCCGUCCUUCCGCGGCCCGGCUUUCCGGAGACUUCCUUGAGGACAGGCGGCCCUGCCAGGCCUCCGAGGCGCCCUCUCCUGCUGCUCCCCAAGGCUCUGUGAGGAAACCAGCUCAGUCUUCAUGCUCAAGGUCCUCAGAGAUGCCUGCCCUCCGCCCCACGCUGGUCUCCUGUGAUGCCCACAACCCCAGUUCUCCCUGCAGCGCAUCCCACCGCCAGAAAUGCAUCUGGAAGUUCUUUUUCUACAGCAAGAGUCAGGGAACCUGCAAACUUGUCUGAAAAGGGUGGUUUCGGUUCUGUCAGCCUUGGGCCCUCAGGGACCCAGCCUGGUGACAGCUAUGGCACUAGCACCACCGAGGGUGCUGGGGGCAGAAAGCCCACCUCAAGACGCGGCGAGAUGCCUUCCUAUGGCGACCUCGGGCCUGGGCUCUCCGGGGCUUAAGGCCAUCAGUUUAAUGAACAUGGGCCCAUCCGUUCCAGUAAAGAGGAGGCCACUGCAGCAGUUAGAGGUGGUGAAAGGGCUUGGCCAAAGCCCACGGUAGUUCAUGGCGGCGCUGACGUUUGGACCCUCAUCCGCAGGCUCCCAAGCUUCUGUUCCGACCUCCGGGCCUCUGGAGUCUUCCUCUCCCCUCUGCCAAUGCUGCUACCCCUUCGACUUGGCCUUCUAAUGCUCUCCCAGUUUCCUCCCCUCUACGUCGCCACGCUCCAAGCCGCCCACCUCCAGGCUGGGUGCCCAGCCUUUCCACCUCACCGCCCCGCUUCUGGUCUUGCUCGGCUUCCAUCCCUUCUCCACUGCAGCCAGAGGGAGCCUCUGCUGAUGCGCGAGCUCAUCUUGCCCUGGCCUAACCCGCAGUGGGUUCCCUUCAGGCCUUCUGCAAUAAUCCAUGCUGGAGGUGGUGAUGCACGCCUGUGAUUCCAGCACUCUGGGAGGCUGAGACAGAAGGAUUGCAAAUGACACAUAACCAGAUAGCGCAGAAUGGAUGGCUUCACAGCAGAAAUAUACUUCUCUGGCUCCUGGAGGCUGGAAGCCUGGAAAAUGUAUCCCGUUAGCCUCAAUGUUCACAACGUGUAUCCUGUCGCGUUCUGCUAUGUGAAAAUCCUGAUCCUAAAUAAAGCCCCAACCUCAAGACAGGGCCCAAGUCUUUACGGAGCACCCAGCUCCACUGGGCCGGCCAGUCAAUAAAGCUUUCCUCCAUGUCUUUUGAGCGGGUUUGUCUUUCCCAGUCCAGAUUUCCUACAGCAAACGGACAUGGUUCUCCCUUGCCUGAAACGCACCAGAAUGUUAGUAGCCAGCAAUCACCCCCUGCCCCGUGACACCAGCUGCUGGUGGGCAUCGCAUCUGUCAGAGCAAUGGCUUCAGGUUCCACUCAGGUGAGCUGAUGCAGUACCUGUCUGUGUGUGUCUGGCUGACUGACCUCACAUCGUGACCUCAGUUUCGUGUCUCUCGUGACAGGAUUCCACCCUUUUUAAUGCCUGAAGAGUUUCCGUGGGGCAGAGCACCGUGUUUCCUUUCUCCAUGCUUCAGUCGGUGGACACUUGAUUUAUUUCUAUUUCUUGGUUACUCUUAGUAGUGCAAAAUAAACGCAGGAAUACAGAUUUCUCUUCCAUAUACUGAUUUUAUUUAUUUUGAAUAUACACCCAGUAGCAGGAUUGCUGGAUCAUAUAGUGGCUGUAAUUUUACUUUCUCUUUUCUUUCUCUCUUUCUCUCUCUCUCCUUCCCUCCCCCAUUCUGUCUGUCUCAUCCUCUCUUUUUCUCUUUUAUAAG
ensembl:lncRNA